rnacentral:rRNA from 1 species
UACGUAGGUGGCAAGCGUUGUCCGGAAUUAUUGGGCGUAAAGCGCGCGCAGGCGGUUUCUUAAGUCUGAUGUGAAGGCCCACGGCUCAACCGUGGAGGGUCAUUGGAAACUGGGGAACUUGAGUGCAGAAGAGAAAAGCGGAAUUCCACGUGUAGCGGUGAAAUGCGUAGAGAUGUGGAGGAACACCAGUGGCGAAGGCGGCUUUUUGGUCUGUAACUGACGCUGAGGCGCGAAAGCGUGGGGAGCAAACAGG